AGAGUAUCAGUAGGAUAAUCAAAGCUUUGCCAUAGAAUUGUACCAUCUGGAUCCUUCACAACAAGAUUCCCAGUAUCGAGAAGCUGCGUGUGAGCUUGAGUUGAGUUGGUGCUGGUGGUCCAAAUGAGCGUGCCAUCAUAGUCGGUUAGAACCACAUUCCCAUCCUUGCGCAUCGUAACUCUCGACCCAUGACCAUUCACAGGAUUGUCACGGUUCACUGUCCAGACGAUAGUCUUGGAGUUCAAGUUGGAGAACCAGAUAGAGAAGGUGAAGGCAUUCGAACCAACUUCGUGGAAGCCGCAUGUGAAUGAAUUCUUUGGUGAGAUGAGGAUGUCUGAGUCAUCCUCCACAGAAAGAUAAGAAUGUCUUGUCAGAGAGCUCCUAGGUGAUGGAGAUGCGAAAGUAAGGAGGAGCAGGAAGACGAGAAAGAGAAGGGUAAGGAUGGUGGAAAGAGUAGGGUUUCUCAUAGCAGAGAACUGAGUAGAACUGCAAAGAAGAAAGACAAACCAAUACAUGCCCUUGAUCAUAGAUUUUGGGUCUGGUAUCCUAUGUUAUAGUUGCUGGACCUUGAAUUAUUGUGUCGACCCCUCGGGAGCUGAUUUGUCCAAGUGAAUCGAUAGGAUAUUUAAGGUCAAGCAUGAGUCCUGACCCUUUGCGGUGCUUAUCUUUCACGGUAUGGAGCUAUUCGUCGUUUGAUAGCUAUGAUUCAUUUGAAUGGGAAAGCAUCGUAUUUCGGUGUCUAAUGGGUGACUUGAGUGCCAAACACGGUAGGCAGUAAAUAUUGGUUCAAUUUAUAUCCGAAGUCAAAAAGAAGGAUCUUUCUGGAGGCUGAUGUAUCUAAUAUUUUUUUCAGCAACACCUCUUUGUUUUUUUUGAAAAACCACCUUACCUCCCUUCCCGAAAAAAAAAAAAAUCCAACCCGCCACUGCCAUUAAUUCGAAGACUCAAAGUCCUCUUGAGGCCGUGCUCGAGUUCUUAUCUUGUGCGGUGCUUAUUUUGGCGCUUUCCAUCAUUGAAUAGCCACCACGUCUCAAUCCUUGAAACGGAUGGUUGUCAUUCAUCUAAAACAGAGAAAAUUAUAUUCCAUGCCGAAUACGUCACUUUGGUGCCAUCCAAAGUAGGCAAGGAGACGAGCCACAAUCAUCCAUUCUCGAGAUGAAGUAGUGGUAAUUCAAAGACGAAGAGCCCUGUACAGUACAGAAGAGGCAUGACAGUAGUGGAUUUUGAUUCUUCCACGCUCGGCAUACUUAUUAUCAUGCAAUGAUCUAAUGGUAUCUUAAACUUGAUCUACGUAGUUUGGCUGGAUAUUUAUACGAUCCAAAUGUGGAGAACGCAUAAAGUAAAUCAGAUUCUUGUAUUGGGUCACGGAAACGCGGUCACCUUCAAAACGACAUGUCGAAAUGAAAAUAAUGUUAAGUUUUAUAUAAGCUAUUAACCUAUAUAGGUAAAGCAAUGCUAGGGUUAGAUUCCGUUCGAAGCAUUCAAUUCAACCUUUUUUCCCACUUCAAAACUAUCCCAGCGCAUGGUGACCCCACUUGAACCGUAGUUCGAGAGUUCAACCCCAUUUUAGUUGCAGCCUUUUACGUGCAUUGUACGUGCCAGGUUCUUGUUGCAUUUUGAUCCAACUUUUGUGUCCACGUUUCCCAUAAAGCUUCUGCCCGAAAAAUAAUAGUACGUCCCUCUAAUUUUUUUGAUUAUAUUUACAUAUAUGAUCUCAUGGGGUGUAGGCCCUCGCUAUCAUUUUGAUGAGAAUUAUCUACUAAGCAUUAAAUUAUUGAUGACAAAAGAAUUGUGUCGCAAUAUGCCAAGAAUUGCUGUGAUGAAUUUAGAGGGAUCCAACUAAUUUUUUUUGAUUCAUAUAUUUCUCAAAAUGAUAGCAAACUAAAUUUAAGAAAAAAUUGAUAUAAAUUAAAAAAUAAUUAUGUAAAAAAAUUCUAAAAUAUUUAAAGGUUUUAAUUUUUUAAAAAAUUAAUUUAUUACAAUCAAUUCAUUGAAUUUUUAAAUUCAUUCGAUUUGAAUUCUGAUCAUGAAUUCUAUCUGGCUGCGCGACAAAAUCAUCAUGUGAUGUGACAUAAUGAACCAUCCUCUUUUGCUAUAUAAGUUGAUCAUAUGUAAAUUCGAUCACGGUAGCUACAUGAAAUUUAUAGCUAGGAAUUUAUAAUUAGGAUCUGAAUUGAUCCAAUUUAAAAGUGCGAUCUAUUAAUUGUACUAAAUUAAAGUUGAAAAAAAUUAAAUUUUUCUAAAUAAUUUAAAAUUUUUGAAUAAUUAUUUUAAAUUAAAAUGAAAAAACCGCUCUGAGCCGGGUUAGCAGUUGGCUGCUUCUUUUUUUUUGCGCACCCUUGCUAGAACCAUUCACUUCCAAAUCCACCUCCAUUAGGGAUUCAGGUUGAGUUGGUGCUGGUGGUCCAAAUGACCGUGCCAUCAUAGUCGGUUAGAACCACGCUUCCAUCCCUGCGCAUCCUAACUCUCGACCCACGACCAUUCACAAGAUUGUCACGGUUCGCUGUCCAUGUGAGAGUCUUGGAGUUCAAGUUGGAGAACCAGAUCGAGAAGGUAAAGGCAUUCGAACCAACUUCGUGGAAGCCGC
rnacentral:lncRNA from 1 species